GAUGAACGCUGGCGGCGUGCCUAAUACAUGCAAGUCGAGCGAACGGACGAGAAGCUUGCUUCUCUGAUGUUAGCGGCGGACGGGUGAGUAACACGUGGAUAACCUACCUAUAAGACUGGGAUAACUUCGGGAAACCGUAGCUAAUACCGGAUAAUAUUUUGAACCGUAUGGUUCAAAAGUGAAAGACGGUCUUGCUGUCACUUAUAGAUGGAUCCGCGCUGCAUUAGCUAGUUGGUAAGGUAACGGCUUACCAAGGCAACGAUGCAUAGCCGACCUGAGAGGGUGAUCGGCCACACUGGAACUGAGACACGGUCCAGACUCCUACGGGAGGCAGCAGUAGGGAAUCUUCCGCAAAGGGCGAAAGCCUGACGGAGCAACGCCGCGUGAGUGAUGAAGGUCUUCGGAUCGUAAAACUCUGUUAUUAGGGAAGAACAUAUGUGUAAGUAACUGUGCACAUCUUGACGGUACCUAAUCAGAAAGCCACGGCUAACUACGUG
rnacentral:rRNA from 1 species